rnacentral:rRNA from 1 species
UGACGGGGGGGCAAGCGUUGUUCGGAAUUACUGGGCGUAAAGGCUCGUAGGCGGCCAACUAAGUCAUACGUGAAAUCCCUCGGCUUAACCGGGGAACUGCGUCUGAUACUGGAUGGCUUGAGUUCGGGAGAGGGAUGCGGAAUUCCAGGUGUAGCGGUGAAAUGCGUAGAUAUCUGGAGGAACACCGGUGGCGAAGGCGGCAUCCUGGACCGAUACUGACGCUGAUGAGCGAAAGCCAGGGGAGCAAACGGG